ensembl:lncRNA novel transcript
AAUCUAUCAACAGAACACAACCCAUAGCCCUACAGUCAUCCAUGAAACCGCCCAGGAAGUCUUCACAUUUGCAGGCUUGCCUUGGCCAAAAUUUCAGGCAGACCCCCAGGAAUUUUGGGAGAGCAGAGGGUCAAGCUGUAAACUCCAAGUACUAGUGUUCAAAUAUUGUGGCCUUUCAGCUCUGGGUUCUUCAAUCCUCCUCCUGGAAUUCUUGGGCGACCUUCCCUUUACUAGGAUUUGCUCCUCUCCUCCUGCUGUGACUGUGUGAAGGGCAGGCAUCAUCACAUGGGGAGCCAAGUACCUCCGUCUCCCCACUUGCCUAAAACAAGCAGGCACAUCCCAUCAGUGAGACUGGAACUUGCAGGAGAAAAUAAGAAGUGAAAUCUCUCUCACACACACAGUUCUACUCAAACUAUAAGCUUUUAUUAUUGUAUUUUACAGAUCAUUCAUUCAGGACAUGCUGCAUCUGGGGUUGGCAUCAUUUCCCUUUUGAAUGACAGAAUGUGCAUAAAAGUCUCUUGCCCACGCUGAACUCACACGUGCCCGGCAGGAAGGAGCUCUCACGAAGUGCCAGCUGGAUGUGAGCUUGCUCUGGCAGCAGCAGUGCUGUCCUUGUUUCUGAGCUGCCACCUAUUCACUGGAGUUAGAAACCUUGUGGGAAAAUGGUGCCUAUUUUUGACAACUGGAUGUCUUCGUGGCCGAGGUCCCUAUGACCUUCCUCUCAAAAGAAUACGUGUAGUUUUAGUUCUCAGACAUCUGGGUCUUGCUCUGUUGCCCAGGCUAGAGUGCAGUAAUGUGAUCAUGGCUCACUGAAGCCUCAGCCUCCGCCUCCUGGGCUCAAGUGAGCCUCCUACCUCAGCCUCCCGAGUAACUGGGACCACAGCAUGUUCUUUUAAACUUCCUAAAGAAGCCCAUGAUAACUGGGAACACGGGCCCUUCACUGAGGCAGGAGAAUCACAUGAGCCACACAUGAUAUCCACUGGAGGAGACAGAAAGUCUGGGAGUGUCAACUGAAUUGAAAGAAAAGGAAAGCAGAGAUGACAGACAGCACACCGGAAGUGACAGGAUAAGCAGUGCAUCUAGCUGGGAAAUAUGUACACUGCCUCCUUCUAUAUCUCAAAAAUCAUCUAGAAUGUUAGAGUGAUUUUCUGGGUCAGAGGGAAGACACGUCUUCAUUUGUUAACUUUUAGAUUUGCGUACCAACUUAUUACUGUAAGCAAUUUAAUUGCAAAGGAUAAAGAACAAGAUAUGAUGCAUCAUCAGGAGAAAAGUCAAGAAUCCAUGUUUAAAUUCAGUUACCUUAUGUAAUCGAAGGUAUACAUGAGCCGAAGAGAGUUUGUCCACAUGAAACCUACAAAGAAUGAAAACCACUUUUAGCAAGAGGUACAAGACAAUCAUCUCCUCAGGCCACAUGCCAUUUAAAGCAUUCUGUUCUAAAAAGUCUUCACUCCAUGCCUGCCACAUGUGAAGCAUCAUGAGGAGUAUAAAGCACAGUCACCACCUCCAAAGGGCUCCCCAUCACCAUGAAGAGGUACGAGAAACACUGAAUUAUGGAGCUGUGAGUAAGUGCCAAGAUGAGUAGAGAUACUAAAUAUUAACUGUACUGGGAAGGGUGAUUUUUCAAGAUAUAAAAAGAACUAUCAGUGAUCAAAGGCUUCAUGAUAAAAAGGAGGCAGUGAGAUUUGGUUGGCCCCUGACUGAAGCAUAGGACUUAGAGCAAAACCAAGGAAAGGAAUUUCAGGUGAAAAGAGUGGGGGAUGAAAGAAGUCAGCAAGUCUCCAAUGCUGCCAGCCUGGGAGAUUAGCAGAACCACAGUUUGGCGGAAACAGAUGACAGUUUCGUUUGUGACAUCCCAAAUUUCAAGUUAUAGCAAAACAAUCCAAAGAGAAUGUCGAAUAGAGAGCUGGAAGAGUUAGGUGGGGCCUAAAGACGCUAAGCAGAACACGUCAUUAAAUGGGUCACAAUUCAAUAAUGUAACCCAAUAAUUCACAAGCACAACAGUUCAUCCGGCCCUAUAUUCUGACAGUGAUACCAAUAUAUGUCUCUUGGGUGAGCACUGCCCUUUACUGACAUUGUCCUAAAAACAUUCAGAAUGUCCCCCACCCCUUAAAUUUACCUUUCAUGAUGGAUCUAUCAUCUAUCAAUUUAAUUAAACCUUUUAAAAUCUAUGCAACAUUCAGGAUAUGAGAUUUUCAUGUUUUCAAUUCACCCAAUGAACUUGACUUUCUCUUUCCAAUACCCAGAAAUGCCCCCUCCGCAUCCCAGCAUCACACAACAAACAAGGUAACACUAUCGCCACUUCGUGAUUCUGUUAACUUUAGUUGAUAUGAUUUGGAUUUGCGUCCCCACCAAGUCUCAUGUCGAAUUGUAAUCCCCAGCGUUAGAAGUGGGGCCUGGUGGGAGGUGACUGGAUCAUGGGGGUGGAUUCUUCAUGAAUGGGUUAGCACCAUCCCUUUGGUGCUAUUCUUAUGAUAGAGUUCUCAUGAGAUCUGUUUAAAAGUGCACAGCCCCGGCACCCUGCUCCUGCCAUGUAAGCCGCCUCGCUUCCCCUUUGCCUUCUGCCAUGAUUAAAAGUUCUAUGAAUGAGGCCUCCCAGAAACAGACACUGCCAUGCUUCCUGUAUAGCCUGCCAAACCAUGAGCCAAUUAAACCUCUUUUCUUUACAAAUUACCCAGUCUCAGGUAUUUCUCUAUAGCAAUGCAAGAUGGACUAAUACAUUAGUCAUACUGCUUCCUUGGUCCUUACCUUUCCAGACUGAAGAAUGUUCAGAAAAUCCUAAAGAGGCAUCAUUACAUCCCAUUAUGUUUCUCUAGCCAUUUUCUUAAGCACUAAUAAAUGUUUUAGAGGUGAAAAUGGUCACCUUCACACCUAGUACAAGAUGUAGACUGUAUGAUUCUAUAUAAAAGUGCCCUCUUUAAAGAGGUUAGUCAUCUUGCUAUUCACUAUGCAUACAGAAAAAUAUUAGGCACUUUUGGCACACAGUUUAUGAUGACUCGAGGUUUUACUCUUAAUCAUUAGUGAUAGCCAGAAAUGGACAUAACAUCUUAUUUGACUUACAUUUCUCCAAGUGGUUCACUUACUCAUUUGCAUUCCCAUGUGAGAGAUUCAUACUAAUUAUCACCUUCAGCUGGAC